ensembl:snRNA U6 U6 spliceosomal RNA
NNGCUAGCUUUGGCAAGCACAUAUACUAAAAUUAGAACAAUACAGAGAAUAUUAGCAUGGCCCUU